UGCGGCAGGCUUAAUACAUGCAAGUCGAGGGGCCAGCAUGGUGUAGCAAUACACUGAUGGCGACCGGCAAACGGGUGCGGAACACGUACAGAACCUUCCUUCGAGCGGGGAAUAGCCCAGAGAAAUUUGGAUUAAUACCCCAUAGUAUAGCGGAGAGGCAUCUCUCUGUUAUUAAAGAUUUAUCACUUGAAGAUGGCUGUGCGGCUGAUUAGGUAGUUGGCGGGGUAACGGCCCACCAAGCCUGCGAUCAGUAACUGGUGUGAGAGCACGACCAGUCACACGGGCACUGAGACACGGGCCCGACUCCUACGGGAGGCAGCAGUAAGGAAUAUUGGUCAAUGGACGAAAGUCUGAACCAGCCAUGCCGCGUGGAGGAUGAAGGUCCUCUGGAUUGUAAACUUCUUUUAUAUGGGACGAAAAAAGGUCUUUCUAGAUCGUCUGACGGUACCAUAUGAAUAAGCACCGGCUAACUCCGUGCCAGCAGCCGCGGUAAUACGGAGGGUGCAAGCGUUAUCCGGAUUCACUGGGUUUAAAGGGUGCGUAGGUGGGUUGGUAAGUCAGUGGUGAAAUCC
rnacentral:rRNA from 1 species